UUAAGUCAGGCAACGAGCGAGACCCGCACCCCUAAUUGCCAGCAGCACCCAUGUGGUGGCUGGGUACAUUAGGGGGACUGCCGCUGCCAAAGCGGAGGAAGGAACGGGCAACGGUAGGUCAGUAUGCCCCGAAUGGGCUGGGCUACACGCGGGCUACAAUGGCCGGGACAGUGGGACGCUACCCCGAGAGGGGACGCUAAUCUCCUAAACCCGGUCGUAGUUCGGAUUGAGGGCUGAAACUCGCCCUCAUGAAGCUGGAUUCGGUAGUAGUCGCGUGUCAGUAGCGCGCGGCGAAUACGUCCCUGCUCCUUGCACA
rnacentral:rRNA from 1 species